CCUACGGGUGGCAGCAGCUAAGAAUCUUGCGCAAUGGGCGAAAGCCUGACGCAGCAAUUCCGCGUGGGGGACGAAGGCCCUAGGGUCGUAAACCCCUUUUACGAGGGAAGAAGUUCUGACGGUACCUCGUGAAUAAGCCACGGCUAACUACGUGCCAGCAGCCGCGGUAAUACGUAGGUGGCAAGCGUUGUCCGGAUUUAUUGGGCGUAAAGCGCCCGCAGGCGGCUCAGCAAGUUUCAGGUGAAAUCUCCUGGCUCAACUGGGAGGGGUCUUGGAAAACUGCUGGGCUUGAGGCAGGGAGAGGGAUGCGGAAUACCAGGUGUAGUGGUGAAAUGCGUAGAUAUCUGGUGGAACACCAGUGGCGAAGGCGGCAUCCUGGCCCUGUCCUGACGCUCAGGGGCGAAAGCGUGGGGAGCAAACCGGAUUAGAUACCCUUGUAG
rnacentral:rRNA from 1 species